rnacentral:rRNA from 1 species
GUGGGGAAUUUUGGACAAUGGGCGCAAGCCUGAUCCAGCAAUGCCGCGUGCAGGAAGAAGGCCUUCGGGUUGUAAACUGCUUUUGUACGGAACGAAACGGUCCUGGUUAAUACCUGGGGCUAAUGACGGUACCGUAAGAAUAAGCACCGGCUAACUACGUGCCAGCAGCCGCGGUAAUACGUAGGGUGCGAGCGUUAAUCGGAAUUACUGGGCGUAAAGCGUGCGCAGGCGGUGCUGUAAGACAGGCGUGAAAUCCCCGGGCUCAACCUGGGAAUUGCGCUUGUGACUGCAGUGCUGGAGUACGGCAGAGGGGGAUGGAAUUCCGCGUGUAGCAGUGAAAUGCGUAGAUAUGCGGAGGAACACCGAUGGCGAAGGCAGUCCCCUGGGCCUGUACUGACGCUCAUGCACGAAAGCGUGGGGAGCAAACAGGAUUAGAUACCCUGGUAGUCCA